GCCUACGGGGCGCAGCAGUGGGGAAUAUUGGGCAAUGGGCGCAAGCCUGACCCAGCAACGCCGCGUGAAGGAAGAAGGCUUUCGGGUUGUAAACUUCUUUUCUUGGGGACGAAGAAAGUGACGGUACCCAAGGAAUAAGCCACGGCUAACUACGUGCCAGCAGCCGCGGUAAUACGGAGGAUGCGAGCGUUAUCCGGAUUCAUUGGGUUUAAAGGGUGCGCAGGCGGGCCUUUAAGCCGGCGGUGAAAUCGCGGGGCCCAACCCCGCCGAGCCGUCGGAACUGGGGGCC
rnacentral:rRNA from 1 species